GAUAACUCUCUUGAAAAAGACACAGGACUUUAUUGGGUUUUGUCGGACACACUCACGUGGUCUCUAUAGAAUAUCGUAUCUUAGCUCAGUGCAUAAUUGUUUCGUUGUUGUUGUUUUUAAAGUGAAAGAUCGAAAAAAGCCAUUUGCAAAAUCUUGGAAAUUAAUAGCCUCAAGCCUCUUAUUAAGUUAAUAAGGAGAGAGGGGGAACUCAACGCUAUUUCUUCUGAAUGUUUAGAAUCUUUCAGUGUGGCACGAGGACACGGAGGCAUAAGGAAUUUAAGAAGUCACGAAAUCGUUAAAAGAACUUGAACUAGGAAAAGAUAUAUAUACUCGAUUACAGCACAGGAUAUUAUAUUCAAAUGAAGCAG
rnacentral:lncRNA from 1 species